rnacentral:lncRNA from 1 species
AUUUUGGCCAGGAGCUGAAGUUGGUUGUUUAGUAGUAGUAGUUUGAGUAGUGACCGAAGUAGUAGUCUGGUGUGUGGGUGCAGCUGAAGUUUCAGAAGUGUCAGGUGUGGUAAUUGGGGCAGCUGUGGUCUCUUGUGGAGCUGGGGAAGACGGUGGAGCUGGUGUAGUUGCAGAAGGUGUGGGUGGGGCAGCUGUGGUCUCUGGUGGAGCUGAGGAAGAUGGUGGAGCUGGUGUAGUUGCAGAAGGUGUGGGUGGGGCAGCUGUGGUGUCUUGUGGAGCUGGGGAAUUCACUGGUGCUAAUGUAGCUACAGAAGAGCUUGUGUUAACAUUUUCUCUUGAAGAUAUGGUGGUGGCAUUCUGGGGAAGAAAAGUCACAUUUGGAAGGGUAGUAAUUUUGAUGGAAUUUGGGUUGUAGCCACUAAGGUAGGGUUGACCACAC